rnacentral:rRNA from 1 species
AGGACGAACGCUGGCGGCGUGCUCAACACAUGCAAGUCGAGCGGAAAGGCCCUUCGGGGUACUCGAGCGGCGAACGGGUGAGUAACACGUGAGCAACCUGCCCCUGGCUCUGGGAUAGCCUCCGGAAACGGGGAUUAAUACCGGACAUGACCCUUGACCGCAUGGUUGGGGGUGGAAAGUUUUUCGGCCAGGGUGGGCUCGCGGCCUAUCAGCUUGUUGGGGGGUGACGGCCCACCAAGGCGACGACGGGUAG